GCGUUAAUCGGAAUUACUGGGCGUAAAGCGUGCGCAGGCGGUUUUGUAAGUUUGUCGUGAAAUCCCCGGGCUCAACCUGGGAAUGGCGAUGAAGACUGCAAGGCUAGAGUUUGGCAGAGGGGGGUAGAAUUCCACGUGUAGCAGUGAAAUGCGUAGAUAUGUGGAGGAACACCGAUGGCGAAGGCAGCCCCCUGGGUCAAAACUGACGCUCAUGCACGAAAGCGUG
rnacentral:rRNA from 1 species